rnacentral:rRNA from 1 species
CGUGAGCGGCGGACGGGUGAGUAACGCGUGGGUAACCUGCCUCAUACAGGGGGAUAACAGUUGGAAACGGCUGCUAAUACCGCAUAAGCGCACAGUACCGCAUGGUACGGUGUGAAAAACUCCGGUGGUAUGAGAUGGACCCGCGUCUGAUUAGGUAGUUGGUGGGGUAACGGCCUACCAAGCCGACGAUCAGUAGCCGACCUGAGAGGGUGACCGGCCACAUUGGGAUUGAGACACGGCCCAA